rnacentral:lncRNA from 1 species
CGGGUAUAAAAGUUGUGACGCGUUCCAGCGUCGCAUAACGUUCCUUCUCGUUUUCUAUAGAUUUUCCGUUGCACAGCAAUUACACUAGGAAUUUGAUCAGAGAAUGGACGGGGAGUAGGGUUUAGGCAGAGAGGUUUAACCGAAAGCGUUCGCCUAUUUUAUCUUUAUUUCGACCUAGUCUACUUUAUCGUCUGCACACACCGCACUGCACAGAACCGCAUCGCACUGGUGGCAAAUAUCUAUUGUUUUAUGUUGUGGCAAGCGUUGCCACUUCCGCCAUAAACCCGAAUCCCUUUG